rnacentral:rRNA from 1 species
UGCGCAGGCGGGACGAUAAGUCAGAGGUGAAAUCUGCCGGCUUAACCGGCACACUGCCUCUGAAACUGCCGUUCUUGAGUCCGGAAGAGGAAGGCGGAAUUCCUGGUGUAGCGGUGAAAUGCGUAAAUAUCAGGAGGAACACCGGUGGCGAAGGCGGCCUUCUGGUCCGGUACUGACGCUGAGGCACGAAAGCUAGGGGAGCGAACAGGAUUAGAUACCCUGGUAGUCC